GAGCUAAUACCGGAUAAUAUAUUGAACCGCAUGGUUCAAUAGUGAAAGACGGUUUUGCUGUCACUUAUAGAUGGAUCCGCGCCGCAUUAGCUAGUUGGUAAGGUAACGGCUUACCAAGGCAACGAUGCGUAGCCGACCUGAGAGGGUGAUCGGCCACACUGGAACUGAGACACGGUCCAG
rnacentral:rRNA from 1 species